rnacentral:rRNA from 1 species
UAGGGAAUCUUCCACAAUGGACGCAAGUCUGAUGGAGCAACGGCCGCGUGAGUGAAGAAGGCUUUCGGGUCGUAAAACUCUGUUAUUGAAGAAGAACGUGUGUGACAGUAACUGGUCAUGCAGUGACGGUAUUCAAUCAGAAAGUCACGGCUAACUACGUGCCAGCAGCCGCGGUAAUACGUAGGUGGCAAGCGUUGUCCGGAUUUAUUGGGCGUAAAGCGAGUGCAGGCGGUCUUUUAAGUCUGAUGUGAAAGCCUUCGGCUUAACCGAAGAAGGGCAUCGGAAACUGGGAGACUUGAGUG